rnacentral:rRNA from 1 species
UACGUAGGGGGCAAGCGUUGUCCGGAAUCAUUGGGCGUAAAGAGCGCGUAGGCGGCCCAGUAAGUCCGCUCUGAAAGUCAGGGGCUCAACCCCUGGAUGCGGGUGGAUACUGCUGGGCUAGAGUCCGGAAGAGGUGAGUGGAAUUCCUGGUGUAGCGGUGAAAUGCGCAGAUAUCAGGAGGAACACCAAUUGCGAAGGCAGCUCGCUGGGACGUUACUGACGCUGAGACGCGAAAGCGUGGGGAGCAAACAGG